GGACAAGUGGCUGAGAGGUGGGAGGCAGCAGACCUUACCUCUUGCCUGACGCCCACGCUUGCCUCCCCACAGCUCCCUGGGAGUCCAGCAUCUUCCCUGGCAGUCUGUGGGCCACGCAGCAGCCCGAAUUUUAUAUGAAAUUUAUAAAAGCAACCUGUACACCAUGGUCCGUGGAAAUGAAAGGUGCAUACGUGAUCAAGAAAGCAGGGACCGGAGAGCAGGUUACAUGGAGAAACCAGAACAGUCUUCCACGGGCCUGUCAGCCUGUCUGCGCUGCUCAAGUCAGAUAAGGUGCUGUUUCCCCAGGACUGUUGUGAGAAGCACAGCAUUUCGGGAGAGAAAGCAGCCCCUUCAGCCCCAGCGGACCCACUGCGUCAUGGAGCCCAAAGCGACCUGCUCAGCAUAGCCAGGUGAGGACGAGAGGCCGCGAGUCCUGAAUCUAGGCUGUUUUUGCCAUCCUUGCGUGGGACUGGAUGAGUGCCACUUGUCCCCUUUGCAGUUCAUGUCUUCUGCCUCUCUCCAAGCCAACCAAGACCCCACCUCCUGUGUUUCCUUUCCCCGUGCCCACACCCUGGAGUGUGUG